rnacentral:rRNA from 1 species
AUAUUGGUCAAUGGACGAGAGUCUGAACCAGCCAAGUCGCGUGAAGGAAGACGGAUCUAUGGUUUGUAAACUUCUUUAGUGCGGGAACAAAGCGGUGUCGUGACGCCGGAUGAGUGUACCGCAAGAAUAAGCAUCGGCUAACUCCGUGCCAGCAGCCGCGGUAAUACGGAGGAUGCGAGCGUUAUCCGGAUUUAUUGGGUUUAAAGGGAGCGCAGGCUGCGAGGCAAGUCAGCGGUCAAAUGUCGGGGCUCAACCCCGGCCUGCCGUUGAAACUGUCCUGCUAGAGUUCGAGUGAGGUAUGCGGAAUGCGUUGUGUAGCGGUGAAAUGCAUAGAUAUGACGCAGAACUCCGAUUGCGAAGGCAGCAUACCAACUCGCGACUGACGCUGAGGCUCGAAAGCGUGGGUAUCGAACAGGAUUAGAUACCCUGGUAGUCCACGCAGUAAACGAUGAAUACUAACUGUUCGGAGGGCGACCUCUGAGUGGUAAAGCGAAAGCGUUAAGUAUUCCACCUGGGGAGUACGCCGGCAACGGUGAAACUCAAAGGAAUUGACGGGGGCCCGCACAAGCGGAGGAACAUGUGGUUUAAUUCGAUGAUACGCGAGGAACCUUACCCGGGCUUGAAUUGCAGAGGAAGGAUUUGGAGACAAUGACGCCCUUCGGGGCCUCUGUGAAGGUGCUGCAUGGUUGUCGUCAGCUCGUGCCGUGAGGUGUCGGCUUAAGUGCCAUAACGAGCGCAACCCCCGCGUCCAGUUGCCAGCGAUUAGAGUCGGGCACUCUGGACGGACUGCCGGCGCAAGCCGCGAGGAAGGCGGGGAUGACGUCAAAUCAGCACGGCCCUUACGUCCGGGGCGACACACGUGUUACAAUGGCGUGGAACAGAGGGAAGCCACCUGGCGACAGGGAGCGGAACCCGAAAACACGUCUCAGUUCGGAUUGGAGUCUGCAACUCGACUCCAUGAAGCUGGAUUCGCUAGUAAUCGCGCAUCAGCCAUGGCGCGGUGAAUACGUUCCCGGGCCUUGUACACACCGCCCGUCAAGCCAUGAAAGCCGGGGGCGCCUAAAGUCCGUGACCGUAAGGAGCGGCCUAGGGCGAAACUGGUAAUUGGGGCUAAGUCGUAACAAGGUAGCCGUACCGGAAGGUGCGGCUG